GGCUCAGGGCGCAGAAGCGGGCACCCCCACCAUGGCCUGGACCCCUCUCCUGCUCGGCCUCCUCGCUCACUGCGCAGGCUCUGCGGCCGCCUAUGUUUUGACACAGCCGACCUCGGCUUCCGUGAACCUGGGACAGACGGCCAGGAUCACCUGUGGGGGAGUCAACAUUGGAAGUAUAAAUGCUUACUGGUACCAGCAGAAGCCCGGCCAGGCCCCUGUGCUGGUCAUCUAUGAGGAUAGCAAGCGGCCCUCGGGGAUCCCUGACCGAUUCUCUGGCUCCAACUCGGGGAACACGGCCACCCUGACCAUCGGCGGGGCCCAGGCCCAGGACGAGGCGGACUAUUACUCUCAGGUGUGGGAGAGCAGUAAUAAUGCUCACAGUGACACAGGCAGACGGGGAAGUGAGACACAAACGUCCAUCUGGGUCACGCUCUCCUCAGGCCGCACAGAGACUGCAGACAAAGCCAUGCCCAGCUCUGGCCCAGGUCCCGUGUCCCAGGUCCAGGCAGCCCCUCUCGCAGCCUCGGGCAGCUGUGCAGUCAGUGGGGCAGCAGUGGACUCAGCACCGGCGGGACCAGGCCAGGCCGGUGUCCUAGCGGCACUGUCACUUCUGGAAGGAAGGCCUGACACAGGACUGGUCCCACUUUUCUUAAUCCAGAAGUAA